rnacentral:rRNA from 1 species
GUGGGGAAUAUUGGACAAUGGGGGGAACCCUGAUCCAGCCAUGCCGCGUGUGUGAAGAAGGCCUUUUGGUUGUAAAGCACUUUAAGCGAGGAGGAGGCUACCGAGAUUAAUACUCUUGGAUAGUGGACGUUACUCGCAGAAUAAGCACCGGCUAACUCUGUGCCAGCAGCCGCGGUAAUACAGAGGGUGCAAGCGUUAAUCGGAUUUACUGGGCGUAAAGUGCGCGUAGGUGGCCAAUUAAGUCAAAUGUGAAAUCCUCGAGCUUAACUUGGGAAUUGCAUUCGAUACUGGUUGGCUAGAGUAUGGGAGAGGAUGGUAGAAUUCCAGGUGUAGCGGUGAAAUGCGUAGAGAUCUGGAGGAAUACCGAUGGCGAAGGCAGCCAUCUGGCCUAAUACUGACACUGAGGUGCGAAAGCAUGGGGAGCAAACAGGAUUAGAUACCCCUGUAGUCC